AUUGAACGCUGGCGGCAGGCCUAACACAUGCAAGUCGAACGAGUGGCGGACGUGUGAGUAAUGUAUGGGAAACUGCCCGAUGGAGGGGGAUAACUACUGGAAACGGUAGCUAAUACCGCAUACCAUCGGAUGUGCCCAGAUGGGAUUAGCGAGUAGGUGGGGUAACGGCUAACCUAGGCGACGAUCCCUAGCUGGUCUGAGAGGGUGACCAGCCAACCGGGAACUGAGACAGGGUCCGGACUCCUACGGGGGGAAGCAGUGGGGAAUAUUGCACAAGGGGCGCAAGCCUGAUGCAGCCAUGCCGCGGGUAUGAAGAAGGCCUUCGGGUUGUAAAGUACUUUCAGCGAGGAGGCGUUACUCGCAGAAGAAGCACCGGCUAACUCCGUGCCAGCCGCCGCGGUAAUUC
rnacentral:rRNA from 1 species